CAGAUUUGCCAGUUCUUUCUGUGAGAUGUUACCCCACUCUUCCACCAAGACACUUGCAAGUUCCCAGACAUUUCUGGUGGGAAUGGCCAUAGCACUCACCCUCUGAUCCAACAGGUCUCAGACAUGCUCAAUGGGAUUGAGGUCUGGGCUCUUUGCUGGCCAUGGCAGAACACUGACGUUCCUGUCUUGCAGGAAAUCACACACAGAACGAGCAGUAUGGCUGGUGGCAUUGUCAUGCUGGAGGGUCAUGUCAGGAUGAGCCUGCAGGAAGGGUACCAAAUGAGGGAGGAGUCUUCCCUGUAAUACACAGCAUUGAGUUUGCCUGCAAUGACAACAAGCUCAGUCCGAUGAUGCUGUGACACACGGCCCCAGACCAUGGUGGACCCUCCACCUCCAAAUGGAUCCUGCUCCAGAGUACAGGCCUCGGUGUAACACUCAUUCCUUUGACGAUAAAUGAGAGUCCGACCAUCACCCCUGGUGAGACAAAACCGUGACUCGACAGUGAAGAGCACUUUUUGCCAGUCCUGUCUGGUCCAGCAAAGGUGGGUUUGUGCCCAAAGGCGACAUUGUUGCCAGUGAUGUCUGGUAAGGACCUGCCUUACAACAGGCCUACAAGCCCUCAGUCCAGCCUCUCUCAGCCUAUUGCGGACAGUCUGAGCACUGAUGGAGGGAUUGUGCAUUCCUGGUCUACUCAGGCAGUUGUUGUUGCCAUCCUGUUCCUGUCUCGCAGGUGUGAUAUUCAGAUGUACCAAUCCUGUGAAGGUGUUGUUACACGUGGUCUACCACUUCAAGGACGAUUAGCUGUCCUUCAUGUCUCCCUGUAGCGCUGUCUUAGGAAUCUCACAGUAUGGAAUUUAUUGCACUGGCCACAUCUGCAGUCCUCAUGCCUCCCUGAAGCAUGCCUAAGGCACUUUCAUGCAGAUGAGCAGGGACCCUGGGUCAGUAGAAAGGUCUCUUAAGUGUCCUAAGUUUUUAAAACUGUGACCUUAAUUGCCCACCACCUGUAAGCUGUUAGUGUCUUAACAACCAUUCCACAGGUACAUGUUCAUUAAUUGCUUAUGGUUCAUUGAACAAGCAUGGAAUCUCUUUUUACUAUAAAGAUCUGUAAAGUGUUUUGGACUUUUACAAAAUUAUCUUUAAAAUACAGUGUCAUGGAAAAGGCACAUUUCUUUUUUGCUGAGUUAUAUAUAUAUAUAUAUAUAUUCAACAGAUCUAUCUGGGAUGUUGCUUUCUUGUCAAAUUUGUUAUCAUAUCAAUUAUAUAAUAAUGCAGAUUAUUCAAAUUGUUGUUACACUAGGCUGUUAGGAGUUCCUAUGGAGAAUUUUUUUUAAAUGUUCAAUUAUAAUAAAAUUAAAUAAAAACUGAUAAUUUUCAAGAAUAACUUUCAGCUAAUAAAUUGUAGCUUACAGAGUUGGCCGUUAUUGCAACCCUGCCAUUUACCUCCAUAAGCCUGAAAAGAAGAGAACUGAGGCUCAGAGCAAGCCCUUUGAUGCUAAGACUGCCUGCUAUGUGAUUUUUCCCAAGGAGUUGUAUGUCAAAGGAACAAUCAAGAUCAAAGAUGGUGGCAAAGUCAUCGUUAUUGUGCUUGACACUAAGGAGGUGGAUUUACACAUUUCAUGAAAAGUGAAUGCUCAUCCCAUUCAAAUAAUUUACACAGUCUUGAUAAAUUGAAUAUUUGCUGGAUUACAUGUAUAAUUUUGACUGUGAUGCUGUAAUCCGACAACUUCUCUGCUUAUUUCAGACAUACUCUGGACUUUUCUGUGCUACUGUGAUCCCAUACAAGUGAUUCCCAGUGUAUGAUGCAGAAGUGAAGUCAGCCUACAGAGGCAAAAAGUGUAUGGAGGCUCCACCCCUUCACUGUCUCUGACAAUCAGUUCAUGCUUAAAGAUCUAGAUUUACAAGCUGAUUCUGAUUUUGUGGAAUUCUGGAUUUUAGUUUUCAUAAAACAAUUAUUAAAAUGAUUGCCUUUGAUUUUAAAGAGAGAACCACCCAGAUAGCAAAAAAUAUCCGCACGGCUUCUUUUUGCCGCAGUCCCUAAGCUGUCGGCUAUAGGUGCGUCCCACUGGCGGGGAUGAAACAUUUGCCGCCGAAUUCGUCACUCCCAUUUCUUGCGAGAUGCCGCCCGCGAAAAGCUGGCGGUUGCCUCGGGCUGAUCGACCGCGGGCGGCUGGCGGCAAGCCGCUUUGAAAUACAAGGAUUUCUACUCUCAAAAUCGACCAGCCAUGUUGGCUAUUAUUAUUUUUUGCUCCAAAGCCAUCAGGGUUUCUAAGUCUUGACUCUUGAUUCCAUGAUAAGGUAAGGUUUAGGAAAUGACAUUUAAAUUACUUUGAAACUCUGAAGCGAUUAUACAGUAAUAUAUGUAAAAUAUACUGAAUUAUUUUAUGCAUUUGAAAAUUGUUUACAUUUCUUUGAUUGCUGCGCAUUUGAGACAUGCACCAAUAAACCAAAAAUAAUUCCUUUUGUAAAACUUACUUGGCAAUAAAUAUCUUUAUGAUUCUGAUUAGGUUUUAAAAUAGAUACUUAAUUCAUGGUAUGAACAAUUUAGCAGAAUAAAUUGAUGAAGUUAGACUUUUCACGAAUGCCUGACUAUCAGUGAACAGUGAAAGACAUCUGCAACAUGGCCAAAAUCUCGGGUAUACUGUAAUUUUUUUUAUUAAUUUGCAACCAUAGUGAUAUCUAUCAUAAACAUGAAAAUCCCUGUUUUGACGUGAAGGAUAAACUCAAUGAAAAAGCGGAAUUAUCCUCUGGUUUCACAGUUGCGCAGAAAUUUCGUUUAUGUCUACAGGUUUUGCAAUUAUGACCUGUACAAAUGUUUAAGAAAGCGUUAAAGUCCCUGUAAAGGCAAUAAAAAUAAAUCUAAACGCAUUAUAAAUGUUAAAAAUGUAUUGUUAAAACACAUUACAAAGACUGAACUGUGAAGUUCCGCUGUCGCCAUAUCUGUUUCCGGUUUACUUGAGCGUCGCCCAAAAUGUCUGUUUUUACUCGAUGUCUCCAGAAUCUUCUGAAAAUACGCGUCAGCGAUGUUCAUCGCAUUGUUGAUGCCUGGUCCCCUGCUCCGACAAGCAAGAGGGACAAGGGCUUUAAACUCUACAUAUCGAGUUAUCUGCACAACUAUAAGGGUAAGUAUUUUAAUCUAAUGUGGUGUGCCGGCAGAUAGCGGCUAAGCUAGUUCGCCACGUGUUCAUUUUUAAUGUAAGGUUAGUAUAGAAGCUUGUUUUUUCUUAGUUUUAAAGCAGACUGUUUGUUAACUUUUGUGAUAAUUGUAAUAUAAAUUAUAUUAACUUGCUCUCCUCUCAGUUUCUAAUAAAGAUCAGGGCACAGGUGAAGUCACUGUCAGGGCAUUGUGCUACAGGUCCACGAGGAAAGCAGAUAAACCUCACAGUUUGAGUGUAUGGUGAAGCUAGAAAUGAUAAGACCACAGUUAUAGGCUUGUUACUUUAAUAGCCCGAUGUUCCUGGGGACUCGGCUAAGGUUAUUCAUGUUUAAUGUAACUCAAAUCAAAUGAAAACAGUUAUUGUAGGCAGGUAAGUUUCCCUAGCUAGUCCCCUCCGGGUAAAAUGCGUUCUUAUUCAAGUUUUCAACUCAGUCAUUCGUUUAAGAUGCAAUCUUGUGUUAUAAGUAUUAGGCUAUCAUGAUUAUACAGUGAGCAAGCUAUAUAAAUAAGUAUUUAAUAUAAUGAAAGUGUAGAGCAACAACCGAGGGUGUAAGGUAAAGGCUGAAUAUUGUAGAUUUAUUACAAUAUGUUGCAUGUUUGAUUUGAAAUACCUGUGGAUAUGCAACUUCCCACUCAUGAAAGUUUUAUGUUAUUAAAGGAGCACACUCUCUACAAAGGCCUGACUGGAGAUUUGCCUGACCUAUCCGUCCUUCAGGUGACAGCGGCUCACUUCAAGAGCAGGUGAAGCAAGUUGGGCCAAUGUUGAAGACAUUUGCUCGCACUGGGCAAUCAGGUGCAGAUCAAACCCUAAUGCUGCGACGUCUUGGAGUUUGGCGAUGUUGUGCGUAGCAUGGACAACAAAAUGCUAUGCUGCAACAUUUCAGUGCCAAUGUGUCUGUUGGAGAGUUAUCCCUGCCAGGGGAUCCGUUACUCCCCCCUAGACACCCAGGAAGAUUUGCCGUUGCUUGACAACAGUUUGAGGCAGGAUAAAGAGCUCCAGCAACGAUUUCUUCGGUUUUUGGCAAUCAAAUGUGGGAGGGACCUAAAGACAACCGUGUGGUGAAUGCUUCAGAGUAUCUUCUCUAAUCACCUUUACAUCAAUACAACCUGGACUGGUGUAGUGGAUAAAGCAUGUUUUAGAGACAUGUUCCUGAAGACCAUUGUUCAAAGAGCCAUCCGGUAGAACCCGGCAACCCAGGAUGCCACUGAUGAGGCGAUCCAGGUUAACGUUACGCGUUACCUGAAAGGAGCAUCUGAACAUGAAGGUGGAAAAAGGCGCCGCACAGCUGAGAGGGACCCACAGCCGACACCUUAAACCUAGGCUGACUACUGACACUCCAGCAUCACUGACAACUGGAACCCUUUCUUUAUCCUGCAGUCAGUAACAUCAAGACCCCUAAAAAAAGCCUGCUAAAAGUGUCAGACUACACUCACCCAAUCCACACUGUUCACUGUGGAAAUUGCUCUUUUUUUUUUUUUUUUUUUCUCGUGACCCUGCUUUGAGGGCAGCUCCUUGGAUGAAUAUGGGAUGGUUUGUCCUUUUAUACAGGCGCACGAGGAAUCACUGAAGAUAUGCCAAUUUGCACUGCCUCAUUCUGGAGGUCGGGGAAAACCGGUGAUUCUUAGCCCGCCACGCAGACCCCAACCUCUCCAGACGUUCUGAUUGGCUGUGUUCUCUACAGCCAGAUAUUCUGCUGUUAAUUAUAUUUAUUCCCACUUGUUGUCAUGUGUAAGUUGAAUGUCAAAAUGUAUAUUAUACCUGUUAUCCUGCACAUUCCUUGAUACCAAAGAUCUCCAUUAUUUCAUAUACAAUUUGCUGCUUAUUUCAUUGUUACAGUGCUUAACUAUUCUAUUUUUAAAUAUAGCUUGUAAAUCCUAGAUUAUACAUCUAAUACUUGAUAUUUGCACAUUAUCUGGUAUCAAAUAUUCUACUUACCGUGACUUUAGUAUUGGCUUAUUUCAUUCCGUCAGUGCUUAACGAUUCUAUUAUAGUUUGUAAAUCCUAUUUCAUGCCUGAUAUUUGAUAUUGCACAUUAACUAGUACCAAAAAUUCUACUUUCAUUCCUUCACAGUGCUUAACUGUUAUUCUAUUGUUAAAUAUAGCUUGUCAAACGUGCGCCGUCAAACGUGUUUGCGAUAUCGCCAUUCUGCCGCUUCUACUGCCGCCCGCGCACCGC